rnacentral:rRNA from 1 species
AACGAACGCUGGCGGCAUGCCUAACACAUGCAAGUCGAACGAGACCUUCGGGUCUAGUGGCGCACGGGUGCGUAACGCGUGGGAACCUGCCCUUAGGUUCGGAAUAACUCCCCGAAAGGGGUGCUAAUACCGGAUAAUGUCUUCGGACCAAAGAUUUAUCGCCUUUGGAUGGGCCCGCGUUGGAUUAGCUAGUUGGUAGGGUAAAAGCCUACCAAGGCGACGAUCCAUAGCUGGUCUGAGAGGAUGAUCAGCCACACUGGGACUGAGACACGGCCCAGACUCCUACGAGAGGCAGCAGUGGGGAAUAUUGGACAAUGGGCGAAAGCCUGAUCCAGCAAUGCCGCGUGAGUGAUGAAGGCCUUAGGGUUGUAAAGCUCUUUUACCCGGGAUGAUAAUGACGGUACCGGGAGAAUAAGCUCCGGCUAACUCCGUG